rnacentral:rRNA from 1 species
GUUCACUGCCAUACCACACUGAACGCGCCUGAUCUUGGAAGCUAAGCAGGGCUGGGACGGCUUGGUACUUGGAAGGGAGAAGGACAUUGAAUUUGGCAAUUGCUGAAGCAAUGAGGU